AGAUAGUGCUCAUUUUGCAAGAAAACAUACAACCUAAUUAGAUACAUAUUUAGGUAUGGUAAUGGUUACUUACGAUGGGGAGGAAACGGGGUGAACUAUAGGGAUAAAAUAUAAUAAAGAGAGGACUCUUGCGUGACCAGUGAUGAAAACUGGAAUAACAACAUUAUUUAUUGAACACAACACACCAAUUAUAAGAAUGAAAAGAUUGGAAUAAUUCUAGAAUGCCACAAAAUAACAUAUGUUAUGUGGCCUGGUACAGACUAUAAGCAUAAUAGUUCAGAAAAGGGAGAUUUGCAGAUAGAAUCAUGUGGAAGCCCUUCCUGAUGAAGUGUCACUUGCACUGGGCCUUGAAAGAAAGGAACUUUUUUAAAAGUAUUUAUUACUCGGCAUCAAUGUAUUUUUUAAUCAUUAUCCUGAGUGGACUUUUUAAGUAGGAAGAAAAUGGUGUGUUCAUUACUCCAAAGCUGAAACACAGUUGGGGUUGUGUAAGGUGACAGCAGGUGAGUUGGUAAAAGAGUUAGCAGAAGUGAUGGCUUUCGUUUCCUCAACUACUGGAUUCACCAGUAAGCCACAUGAGACCUCAGUCACAAUCGGUAACUCAAAGGUAAAUUUAAAUAUAA
rnacentral:lncRNA from 1 species